rnacentral:rRNA from 1 species
GGGUUGUGAGGUUAAGCGACUAAGCGUACACGGUGGAUGCCCUGGCAGUCAGAGGCGAUGAAGGACGUGCUAAUCUGCGAAAAGCGCCGGCGAGGUGAUAUGAACCCUUGACCCGGCGAUGUCCGAAUGGGGAAACCCAGUGUGAUUCGUCACACUAUCGUUAACUGAAUACAUAGGUUAACGAGGCGAACCGGGGGAACUGAAACAUCUAAGUACCCCGAGGAAAAGAAAUCAACCGAGAUUCCCCCAGUAGCGGCGAGCGAACGGGGAGCAGCCCAGAGUCUGAAUCAGCUUGUGUGUUAGUGGAAGCGUCUGGAAAGUCGCACGGUACAGGGUGAAAGUCCCGUACACGAAAGCACACAGGCUGUGAACUCGAAGAGUAGGGCGGGACACGUGGUAUCCUGUCUGAAUAUGGGGGGACCAUCCUCCAAGGCUAAAUACUCCUGACUGACCGAUAGUGAACCAGUACCGUGAGGGAAAGGCGAAAAGAACCCCGGCGAGGGGAGUGAAAAAGAACCUGAAACCGUGUACGUACAAGCAGUGGGAGCACCUUCGUGGUGUGACUGCGUACCUUUUGUAUAAUGGGUCAGCGACUUAUAUUC